rnacentral:lncRNA from 1 species
ACGGGACAGGGCUGCUGCUGAUAGCCAUGGGAAUCAUAAUGAAAAUGCUGCCCGAAAACAAAGUCCUGGGUUGGAGUGUGAUCUCACAUACUGCUGCCAAACAUGCAAACUCUUUCAAACUAGGGAAGAGUAGAACAGCAAAUGAAACAGAAGAGGAAAGGCCCUUGGUCUGAAGUAUUGAGGGCUGCAGUUUUCUUUCUACUUGAUUUUUUGAAUUUAGUUCUCCAUACACCCCAAGGAUUAAAGAAAGGAAAGGAGAGAAGGUGACAAGGCAAAUGUUAGCUAGUUUAGCUCCCUGGUGGGAAAAAUUAUGAGCAUUAAUGUGAAGGGGAAUGGCUAGGAGUUAGUUUCUUCCAAAAGAUCAUGUUGAUCAAAGAAAUAGUGGUAAAAACGUACCAUCCUUAUUUUAAAUUUAACAAGAAUCCAAUUUAAAGCAAUCAUGUUUUCAUCUAAAAGACUUGGACUACUUGGAUCUAACAAAAGUUAUAAGAUUCAUAUAGCCGACCUUACUUAGUGGGACAAGGCUUUGUUGUUGUUGUUAUUGUUGUUGUUGUUUUCAUCUGAAAUAGCAGACAUGUGAUAAACCAUAAUUUAAUUCAAUGUGUUUAGUUAUAGUUAUGAAAUUCAUGCAUUCGAUUAUGCCAAAAUGUAUUACAAACAAAUUAAGCUGGAGUUGUUUAUAGUUAACAAUGUUUGGCUCCACAUAAUUGUGAAGGAAUACCUCUGAAAAACAUUAUGAUCCGAUUUACAGAACUUUGUACUUAUGACCAGAGUUAUAUUAUAAUAACUAUGUAUAGAUUAUAACUGUAAAAAAAUUAAGAAAAGAUGAUAACGUUUAGUUAUCCAAUUGCAUAAAUACAAAGGGUCGAAAUAGGUAAAAUUAUUACAAAUUGUCUAUCUAUUUGCUACAAUUAAUUAACUAAAUGAUCUUUAUUAAUUGAUUUUUUAUAAGAAUGAUCUUUAGUGAAUAAUUUAUAAUAUGAAUGAUUUUAAUUUUAAGUAUGAAGCUUUGUGAAUCAACCCCGAAAUAUUUUUAUGAAACAAUUCCAAGCAUUGUUCGUUGCAAAGGGGAUCACCAAUGCUAACGAUGACUAGGUUGAGGAUGAUAAGAAAAUAGAGGAUACAAUGCUUAACUAUUUGGCCAAACCGGAUAAAUUAAUGAUCCUUGUAGUCAUAAGGUAUUCGGAAGAUAGUCUUUGUGCUAAAAAAAACUCGGAUUUAAACCCCUUUGUGUACUCCGUUAGCAAAUUUAGUCAAAAAGUGAUUUUUCCGUUAACUAUCUAUUAAUACACGGGUAAAAUUGUACUUUGAGGUGUGCACCUCCUUCUUCCUGCAUCUCCCCUAUGCAACCACCAAACUCACUUUGCGCAAGGGAAAAAGGAGAGACCAUUUUAAGUUUUUCACAGAGCCACCAUGUCUCCAUGGGCCAAACCUGGCGCCUGGGCCCUCGUCGCCGAGGAGCAGGAAGCCGAACUCGAACAGGAAGCCAAAGAGUUUGGAGGGGGGAAGUCAAACUCGGAUUUAAACCCCCUAUCGUCUUUUCUUGACUUCCUCCUAGUCUCUCUCUCUCUCUCUCUCUCUCUCUCUCUCUCUCUCUCACUUUGCUCUAAGUCAGCCAUGGCCAUCGUCACCUUGCUCCGCUCAUUACGUACCGAUUUGUACGUCUCUUUACUUUUUCUGAGAUUCCUUUUUAAGUUCCCAACCUGUCACUCUCGCCACUCAAUCAUAUCUCUGUUUGAUUUGUUUUUUGGUUGAAAGUUAUGAGAUUUUCAGCUUGUUGUAGAAUUUCUUGAUUUUAUGGAGUAUUUGUAUGUUGUGAUCCGGUAGAAUUGAACAAGUAAAAGAUUUAUAAUUCAAUAUUUGAAUUUUUUGGGGCUUCUGAUGUGUUAUUUUG